rnacentral:misc_RNA from 1 species
CGCACAUUGCGCCUUUUGGUAUUCCGAAAGGCAUGCCUGUUUGAGUGUCAUGCUCACUCUCAUACCUAGUCUUCUAUGUAUGAGCUUUGGACGUUGCCAUCUGUGGCUCGUCUUAAAUGACUAAGUGGAAUGCGUAAUAAGUUUUCGCUCCCUCCACUCUAAUAACUUUUAUGUUAGACCUCAAAUCAGGUAGGACUACCCGCUGAACUUAA